GGGGAAGCUGAAGCAUGAAGGCUCGAGGAGCACACAGACACCUACACACAGCUCCGCGGGCAUGUGGGGACCCAGACCCACCCCCACAGCAGACACCCCCACAGAGCACUCAUGGCCCCCACAGAAAUACACCCACACUCAUCACAGCAAACCAAAACAAUCACACGCCGGUACACAAACACACACACCCCCGCACCAAUCCAGGCAGACACAAAGCUCACGGCGACAGGCAGAUCUGAUUCACACAGACACAGGCACAGGUGCUUCCUGAUGCCACCCUCUCUUGGUCACGUGCCAGCACUUGGAGGGAGGAAAGUGCCUCACCAGGCUGAGAUGCCCAAGGGACCCCCCAGGGAGGGAAAGCAGGACACACUGGGACAGUUGCUUCCAGCCCUGUCCACACCCUUGUGCCCAUCAGGCCAAGCCACUGGUGAAUAUGCUGCAAAAAAUAUGCUGGAACUUCUAUGAAUACCACAGGGUGUGAGAAGAAAACAUUAGAACUUCUAUUUUGUACCUGUGUUACUCCACAACAAGAAAGCAAUCAGCUUGAUCAAUGCCUACUGUAAAGACGGCACCGCCCUCCGGAGGUCCUUUCUCAGCCCUGGUGUUCGGACAGCCACAUCCCCUCGCAGCAGGGGGAGGCCUGAAGCAUAGAGGGGCCCAUGCAGGUCUAUUCUGUUUCAGCGAAUUGCCUGGGAAAUAAUCCAGGAUCCAUUUCGUGUGGUCAUCUUGUCUCCCUGGUCCCCUCCAGCCUUUCCUCAUCUUUUGUGACCUGGUCACUCUGGAAGGGCGCUGGCCAGUUAGUCCACAGGAUGGGCCUCCCCUGGGGCUUUUCUGAUGCUUCCUUAUGAUGGCACUGGCAUCCUGAGGGGGAGGACCACAGAGAGGAGGUGCUCCUCAUCACACCACAUGGGGGUCCAUGCACCAGUGCCACUGCUUUCCAGGGCUCUUCACCUUCAUCACUGGUGGAGGUGGCGUCUGCCAAGAAGCAGAAAGUUGAGGCUUAGAAGGUGCACGGCCCUACCUCUUCCGAGGUGCCCCUGCGGGCUGUCUACAGACCAGGCAGCACAUGCCUGAUAGCAGCUGCAUAAGGAAAAGCAGGAGCCAGCUCGUGCACAGUGGCCUCAAGUGUGCACUGGGCAUGUUCUCUGCCUCACCAUCCCUGUGUGACAGAUGAAGCUUGAGAAGCCUCUGCCUGGGUGCGCAGCCCCACAGCCCAGCCUCUGCAGAGUGGGAGGGGAGCCAGGCCCUGCUUGGGUAGCAUUGCCAUGGCAACCUCUCCCCACGCUGCUCCUCGCUGAGACCCGGGCAUCUGUGGCCAUGGCGACUGGGCCUGCCACUGGCACAUCUGCAUAGCAACCAGAGAGGGUGCCGAGCGCAGCUGGGCCCCGCUCAGGAAAACAGGUACACUCAGAGCUUUUAUCAGUCAUUAAGGAGAAGCUGGGAGCCUCUAUGGGGAGAAAGGACAAAGGAUGCAGACAAAAGACUUGGAACCGCAAGUGGCUAAUAAAUCUAUGACAAGUGCCCAACAUUACCAGCGAUCAUAGAAAUGCAAAUGCAAACAACAAUAAGAUACUUAAAGAAAAACAACAA
rnacentral:lncRNA from 1 species